rnacentral:rRNA from 1 species
GAUGAACGCUGGCGGCGCGCCUAACACAUGCAAGUCGAACGGUUAAAGCACCUUUUAGGUGUGUAUAAAGUGGCGAACGGCUGAGUAACACGUGGGCAACCUGCCCUCCUCUUGGGGAUAGCCUCGGGAAACCGAGGAUAAUACCCGAUACUUCAAUGUGGCCGCAUGACGACAUUGAGAAAGCUUUUGCGGAGAAGGAUGGGCCCGCGGCCUGUUAGCUUGUUGGUGGGGUAGAGGCCUACCAAGGCAAUGAUGGGUAGCUGGGUUGAGAGACCGACCAGCCAGAUUGGGACUGAGACACGGCCCAGACUCCUACGGGAGGCAGCAGUGGGGAAUCCUGCACAAUGGGCGAAAGCCUGAUGCAGCGACGCCGCGUGCGGGACGAAGGCCUUCGGGUUGUAAACCGCUUUCAGCAGGGACGAGGCGAUAAGUGACGGUACCUGCAGAAGAAGCCCCGGCUAACUACGUGCCAGCAGCCGCGGUAAUACGUAGGGGGCAAGCGUUAUCCGGAUUCAUUGGGCGUAAAGCGCUCGUAGGCGGUCUGUUAGGUCGGGAGUUAAAUCCGGAGGCUCAACCUCCGCCCGCUCCCGAUACCGGCAGACUUGAGUUUGGUAGGGGAAGGUGGAAUUCCUAGUGUAGCGGUGGAAUGCGCAGAUAUUAGGAAGAACACCAGUGGCGAAAGCGGCCUUCUGGGCCAUAACUGACGCUGAGGAGCGAAAGCUAGGGGAGCAAACAG